rnacentral:sRNA from 1 species
AGUAAUCAAUACAGGUAUUGCAAGAGAGGUAAUCAGUUGAGGGUAUUGCAAGAGAGAUAAUCAGUUGAGGGUAUUGCAAGAGAGGUAAUCAGUUGAGAGUAUGGCUAGAGAGGUAAUCAGUUGAGGGUAUCGCUAGAGAGGUAAUCAGUUGAGAGUAUGGCUAGAGAGGUAAUCAGUUGAGGGUAUCGCUAGAGAGGUAAUCAGUUGAGAGUAUUGC